UGAGGGGAUAUUGGGUCAAUGGGGGAAACCCUGAACCCAGCAACGCCGCGUGAGGGAUGACGGCCUUCGGGUUGUAACCUCUGUCCUCUGUGAAGAUAAUGACGGUAGCAGAGGAGGAAGCUCCGGCUAACUACGUGCCAGCAGCCGCGGUAAUACGUAGGGAGCAAGCGUUGUCCGGAUUUACUGGGUGUAAAGGGUGCGUAGGCGGUUUGGUAAGUCAGAAGUGAAAUCCAUGGGCUUAACCCAUGAACUGCUUUUGAAACUAUCGAACUUGAGUGAAGUAGAGGUAGGCGGAAUUCCCGGUGUAGCGGUGAAAUGCGUAGAGAUCGGGAGGAACACCAGUGGCGAAGGCGGCCUACUGGGCUUUAACUGACGCUGAGGCACGAAAGCAUGGGUAGCAAACAGGAUUAGAUACCC
rnacentral:rRNA from 1 species